GACGAACGCUGGCGGCGUGCCUAAUACAUGCAAGUCGAACGCCUCUUUUUCCACCGGAGCUUGCUCCACCGGAAAAAGAGGAGUGGCGAACGGGUGAGUAACACGUGGGUAACCUGCCCAUCAGAAGGGGAUAACACUUGGAAACAGGUGCUAAUACCGUAUAACAAUCGAAACCGCAUGGUUUUGAUUUGAAAGGCGCUUUCGGGUGUCGCUGAUGGAUGGACCCGCGGUGCAUUAGCUAGUUGGUGAGGUAACGGCUCACCAAGGCGACGAUGCAUAGCCGACCUGAGAGGGUGACCGGCCACCUUGGGACUGAGACACGGCCCAAACUCCUACGGGAGGCAGCAGUAGGGAAUCUUCGGCAAUGGACGAAAGUCUGACCGAGCAACGCCGCGUGAGUGAAGAAGGUUUUCGGAUCGUAAAACUCUGUUGUUAGAGAAGAACAAGGAUGAGAGUAACUGUUCAUCCCUUGACGGUAUCUAACCAGAAAGCCACGGCUAACUACGUGCCAGCCGCCGCGGUAA
rnacentral:rRNA from 1 species